rnacentral:tRNA from 1 species
AGGUCAAUAAUUUAAAGGUAGAAUAGUCCACUCAUAAUGGAUCCGUUGUAGGUUCGAUUCCUACUUGACCUA